AUGACAGGAGUGGCUCCAUCUACCGCGGAGUGCUGCUCUGCUUUUCGUCCGGCAGCAGGCGGCGCCGACGCGCCUCCCGUCCCCUCGCCGCCUCGUCUUCUCUGCGUUAAAGCGAAACUGAACUGCAAGCUCGAGGGGUACGCGCCUCUUGUUGCGGGCUUUCAGCUGCAGACAGAGAGGUGUCGACGACGGCCGGACCAUGGAGCGGCGGCCUUGCGAAAUUCAGAUCGACGGGCUGGAGUGGAAAAUUCGCCUGCUGUUAGUUCCAAUCCCGUGCGGUGUUCCCCCUGGAUCCAGCCAAGAACCCACCCGUUCCUCUGCCAUUGUGAGUUGGUAGAUCGAGUGACUGGAGCAAUGGCUGUUCGGAGAGGAGAUGGAUAUCACUGGCCGUAG
rnacentral:rRNA from 1 species